rnacentral:rRNA from 1 species
UACAGAGGGGGCAAGCGUUGUUCGGAAUUACUGGGCGUAAAGGGCGCGUAGGCGGCCUGUUAAGUCGGACGUGAAAUCCCUCGGCUCAACCGGGGAACUGCGUCCGAAACUGGCGGGCUUGAAUUCGGGAGAGGGAUGUGGAAUUCCAGGUGUAGCGGUGAAAUGCGUAGAUAUCUGGAGGAACACCGGUGGCGAAGGCGGCAUCCUGGACCGACAUUGACGCUGAGGCGCGAAAGCCAGGGGAGCAAACAGG